AGAGAUUAAAUGACUGAUUUAGAGGCUUUGUGCACAAAGCUUGCCGGUGACAGGGUGCAUAUAGCUACGAGGGAGAGAGCAUGCAUGCCGAAGAGGCAAACAUGACAUCACUCAUGAAUAUGGGUACAGGUGAUUGGCUACGGGUAUAUAGUCUCAGUUUAAUACAUAACUUGGACGGGAUGCAGUGAAGAGACGCUCUCUCAUGUUGACAACAUGAAUCGCAGGAGAACCUGAGAUUCUCAAUCCUUGAUUUUCUCUAUGUAUCUUGAAGCCUGUGUAAUCAAUCUAUUUCUUCUGCAUUAUUUUUGAGUGGAAUCCAUAUUCAUUUACAUAACAGACAACAACUACAUCUGACCGCACAGCAAAUCAAUUCUAUGGAACUAAAAGUUGUCUUCAAUUUAAAUUAGCUGAAUGUCUCAAACAUGUCUGACAACCUGCAGAAACCUACAAAACCCGAAGUGUAAUAUAUCAGUGCAACAGAAGAGAACUAAAACAAAGAACCUGAUAUGGGCGAAGGCAGAACUAAAACUGACCCAUUUAAAAUCGUCUACCCUAAAGAGUGAAAAUAAUGAAUCAAUCUCUAAAAUUGACACUGCACAUUCAAUUUUCAAAAAGAGGAUGAAGAAAUUCAAAGAAGAAAGAGUGCAUACGUACAUUAGAACUUAAUAAAGAUAAAAUAACUGGGUGCAGUCCAUAGACCAUCAUACAAAUUUGCUUCGAAAGUUCCUUUUCUUAGCAGUUUGUCUGACCGUGGCGCUGGUUGCCGCUAGCUGCCUCCAGCAUGCAUCUCCCCCGUGAACUCCUGAUUCUCAAAGAAAAAUUAUCCCUCACAUCUCUAUUACGGGAGUACUUAUAUAGAGAUACUGGUAGUAGUUGGGGCAUAUGUAAGCAGCAUACGUAAUCAUAUUAGGCAUCGAACUUGAACCCUAGAGGAUGCACAAUCGAGAGGCGAGAGAUUGCCAGACGCUGAUUGUCAAAAAAAAUAAUAGCCAUCACCUCUCUGUUAUGGGAAUACUCUUAUGUAGAUCCUGAUGGUAAUUGGCGGCACAUGCGCAAUCUUAUUGGGCAUCGAACUUGAACCCUAGGUGGUGCACCAUCGAGAGGAGAGAGAUCGCCAGCCGCUAAUACAUGUCAGAUGGUGAUGAGACGGAUGGAAUCAUUGACCGCGUUUGGGACUGCUGAGAAUCAAUCAUAUAUGACAUAUCUAAUGGUUUGCAUAUUCUUUUGAGGUAGAUCGGAUGUUCCCUGAUUCUAUAAGUAACCCUCCUCCAUGACCAAACGUG
rnacentral:lncRNA from 1 species